rnacentral:rRNA from 1 species
UACAGAGGUGGCAAGCGUUGUUCGGAAUUACUGGGCGUAAAGGGCGCGUAGGCGGCCUUCUAAGUCUUGUGUGAAAUCCCUCGGCUCAACUGAGGAACUGCACGGGAUACUGGAUGGCUUGAGUUCGGGAGAGGGAAGCGGAAUUCCUGGUGUAGCGGUGAAAUGCGCAGAUAUCAGGAGGAACACCGGUGGCGAAGGCGGCACUCUGGGCCGGUACUGACGCUGAGGAGCGAAAGCGUGGGGAGCGAACAGG